GUGGGGAAUAUUGGACAAUGGGCGAAAGCCUGAUCCAGCCAUGCCGCGUGUGUGAAGAAGGUCUUCGGAUUGUAAAGCACUUUAAGUUGGGAGGAAGGGCAGUGAGUUAAUACCUUGCUGUUUUGACGUUACCGACAGAAUAAGCACCGGCUAACUUCGUGCCAGCAGCCGCGGUAAUACGAAGGGUGCAAGCGUUACUCGGAAUUACUGGGCGUAAAGCGCGCGUAGGUGGUUUUGUAAGUUGGAGGUGAAAUCCCCGGGCUCAACCUGGGAACUGCCUCCAAAACUGCAUGACUAGAGUACGGUAGAGGGUAGUGGAAUUUCCUGUGUAGCGGUGAAAUGCGUAGAUAUAGGAAGGAACACCAGUGGCGAAGGCGACUACCUGGACUGAUACUGACACUGAGGUGCGAAAGCGUGGGGAGCAAACAGGAUUAGAUACCCGAGUAGUCC
rnacentral:rRNA from 1 species